ACGGAGGGUGCGAGCGUUGUCCGGAAUCACUGGGCGUAAAGGGCGCGUAGGCGGCCUGAUAAGUAGGGGGUGAAAUCCUGCGGCUUAACCGCAGGGCUGCCUUCUAAACUGUCGGGCUCGAGCACGGUAGAGGCGGAUGGAAUUCCCGGUGUAGCGGUGGAAUGCGUAGAGAUCGGGAAGAAUACCGGUGGCGAAGGCGUUCCGCUGGGCCGUUGCUGACGCUGAGGCGCGAAGGCGUGGGGAGCGAACGGGA
rnacentral:rRNA from 1 species